UGAGGUAUAGCUCAGUGGCAAGGCAUAUGCUUAGCAUGCACAAGGUCCUGGGUUCUUUCCCCAGUACCUCUA
rnacentral:tRNA from 1 species